rnacentral:lncRNA from 1 species
UGAAGUAAAACCAAGCAUGUAUAUACAAUGAAUUUCAGGAAUAAAAACUUUUUGGGAAAUUAUAGUAGAUCCUAAACAAAAAUAAAAUACAAAAUAGAAAGGUACUUUGACAUGGCCUUCCAUCAGUGUAUUCAUUUGUCUUCUAUUGAUCACCCACACCUGAAAUGAAAAUAAAAUGAUGGCUUCUCAUUUUGGUCUAAAAAAUUAGAUCAACAAAUGAUAAAUGAAAAUUAAUGUUAAUAAUUUUGUAACUGCAAUAAAUAUGGCAUCAGGACCAAAAGAUGCUCAAAUAACAUCAAUGCCUAAACUGUAGUAGCAUGCAGAUAUAACAUACUUUUUGUCUCAUAAACCAAAGGAAGUUCAGAAUAUACCAUCUUAAAUCGGUGUGAGCGCCUUGGCUUGCAUCAUCUCCUAGUUGACCUGAGCUACAAAUGCAAUACAGGUCAAUACUCUGAUUUCAUUGACCCUAUUUUGCACAGGUCAAUACAGAAGGAACCAAAUCAGUCAAUAGAGAUACUCUGAAGAAAUGCUUACCAUAUUUUUACAGAGAUGCAGAGGGAGAGGGAG